rnacentral:rRNA from 1 species
GAUGAACGCUGGCGGCGUGCCUAAUACAUGCAAGUCGAGCGAACGGACGAGAAGCUUGCUUCUCUGAUGUUAGCGGCGGACAGGCGAGUAACACGUGGAUAACCUACCUAUAAGACUGGGAUAACUUCGGGAAACCGGAGCUAAUACCGGAUAAUAUUUUGAACCGCAUGGUUCAAAAGUGAAAGACGGUCUUGCUGUCACUGAUAGAUGGAUCCGCGCUGCAUUAGCUAGUUGGUAAGGUAACGGCUUACCAAGGCAACGAUGCAUAGCCGACCUGAGAGGGUGACCGGACACACUGGAACUGAGACACGGUCCAGACUCCUACGGGAGGCAGCAGUAGGGAAUCUUCCGCAAUGGGCGAAAGCCUGACGGAGCAACGCCGCGUGAGUGAUGAAGGUCUUCGGAUCGUAAAACUCUGUUAUUAGGGAAGAACAUAUGUGUAAGUAACUGUGCACAUCUUGACGGUACCUAAUCAGAAAGCCACGGCUAACUACGCG